GCGGCCUCCAGUGCUGGCAUGGCCUCGGCCAGGUCCCCCUCACACUCGUCCUGCGGGCACACGGGGACAAAGGGCCCAGGCGAUCCCCAGCCGGUGUGGAGUGCAGCCCGCAGCCCAGGUGAUCCCCAGCUGGACGGGCCGACCACACGACCACACCUCCCGCAGAGCUGUGCGGGCUCCCCGCCUCCCGGAUCUUUAUACCUUGAUGCCCUGAGCAACGGAGGCAGCGGCGUUGGCUUCCUUUUCAUCCGCCUGCACCAGGAGCUUCUUGGC